AGAAACUUGCUUCGUGGCUUACUGUUUCGAAGGUAAGCAACCUCUCUUGGACACUCCAGGAGAUCAGUUCUCCUGGUGGACUCCCAAUCUAAAAAGAAAGGUUUCUUUGUCUUUGAUCCUUGUGGUUCAUACUUACUGUCUUGCAGCACUGUCAAAUGAAUCAGAUAUGAGUUCGCCAUUGGAACCCUUCAGUUUAAUUCAAACAAGUUUGCAACGGGUCAGCACUGCUGCACAUGAACUUAAGCAGUCUUAGUGUGAGUGUUCAAACGUUCUUUAUUUGCCACAGAAUGGAAGCUGAUAGCUUUUAGUUCUUCCUUUGCAAUGUUAAAAUGCAGAAUACAUAAGAAUGUUUUGUUCUUAUUUGUGAAAAAUGCCAGCAUUUUAUGGAAAAUGAGUAUGAAAGCCCUACAGAAGUAAUGGGAAAAAUACUAGCACAAACACUGGACAUUCAACAUUUAUUCAUCAGCAACAUAAAAAUACAUUUGGGAUAAUGAUUAAUUUUACAAUUGCAAUUUCUCCUGCUAACCUAAAAUGAGAUAAAUGUUCUUAUUUUUCUUGCAAACAAGAUAAUUACAGUAACCCUCUUACUCCUGAGCACGGCAAUCGAUUAGCAGCUCCUCUUCUGAAACCCAGAUAUUGAUAGAAAAUAGUUACUUAAAAGCUCCUUAAGAUUAAAUAUGCUUGGAAUUCUAUGAAAAAUCUGUGCACCAGUGUACAUGCUUCUGCUAACCCACAGGCUUCUCAGACACAUUAAGUUAAGCGUACACAUCAGCAAAUUGUGUAAUGCAUUUGGGUUGGCAGCGUAAACAUUUGAUCCCACUAACUUAUUUUAAGCACAAAUAAAGGUUGGUUUGCUGGUGGCUGGGAGCUAUGUCAACGUAUGUGUUCAAUAAACAUUUAGAUGUUGUACUACUGGAUGUGGCUUAGUAGGGAAAUAGUGGUGGUAGAUGGAUGGUUGGACUAGGUGAUCUUGGAAGUCUUUUCCAACCGUGGUGAUUUUGUACAGAAGCAUCACAUGAAAGACAUCUUUUUAUAGAUUUAAUAACUAGAAAGUUGACUUGACUUGGUGUAAUGUAGGCUAUUUGUGGCAGUUCUUGAAGCUAUUAAGCAGAGUCUUGACCUACAAUUCAGCCAUGCAAUUAGUAGGCUUCUCUGUGAUCUGGGAGGGCUGUCAUUCUGGCCUCUGCAGAGUAAGUGCCAUAAGAGGUACAAACAUGGGACAUACACACAUACACUGUAGUUAGGACUUGGGUUUUAAAGCAACAUUACACCAAUAUACACUUGCUGGGAUCAGACCCUUGUGUUAAUUCACACAGACCCUGCAUAUCACAAAGAAAACAACUUCUGCAGCUAGAACCAGUAGAAAGAGCUUAUUUUUGUAAUCACUCCUCUGCGCUCCCCCAGUAUGUUACAGAAAAAAAUAAGUAAGGAAAAGAGCUGGAAGGGCUUCAGAAAAAUCAGACCUAAAAACUCUCCCUCUGGACAUUCAUACUGCUCAUGCUCAGAGGAGUCUUCUUGGCCUGUUUUAAAAUCAGCAGUAUGCUUUUUAAAAGCCACUUAUUACAGAUGGUGUUGUGAAUAGGUUCAGACUCAGCUUUAGCUGCAAGUGUAGUUAUAAGGUAGGCAUCUUUGUCUAUACAUGCCUCAGGGAUCCUUGAACUCAACAGCAGCUCAAACCUGCCAGAUCAGAGAAGAGCAGAUGACUUUUCCAAGUGUUUCUUCUCCAGCAUCCACACUCAGUACAAAAAGGAGACAGCUUAAAUUUAGUGAAGUUCUAGAUGUCCAAGCAACCUGUAUACAAAAUACCAAUAACUUGUUAUGAACACAUACCACUAACCAAUCUCUCCAGCUGAGUUAACAUCAGUUAAAGUCAAAAUAUACUGCAACAAUGUGGAUUGCUCUGAAGAACCACCUCCCAAAUGAAUGACUGCACAUUAUACUGGUCCACAGAUCUGAUAUGACACUCCUAUCAAGGCUACUUAACCAUUCCCUCAAGGAUCAUAUGUUGCUACCCAUCCAGAGCUUGACAGCUGUGUAAAAUUUUCUGGUCCUAGAACUAACCCCCAAAGCCUGGACUCCAGCAAUAUCCUUACAGAUAGAAUGAGCUCUUGACUCAGUUGUUUCUGGAUUCUAGUGGUGACUUGGGAAUUCAGGUAAACAGUCAAUAUUAAGAAGGAAGUUGUUCUAAAGUCUUGGAAGAGUCAUUAUUCCCACGAUACAUCUCUGCUUCAGAAAGGCACUCAGCAUUAGUACAGUGGUUGGUGGAUCAAACUUUUUACAGAAAGAGAGAAGUCUAAAGGUUCAGUGAGUUAUAUUGCUGUUUAUGAGACUUUGACGUGCUUUGAUUGAAUUUGUAUCAAUACAGAAAAGGUGAAGAAAUCCACUACUAGGUAGGCCUACACUGUGCCUAAUGCUUAAUAUUGUUGCACCCACAUAUAGUCUUUGUAUUUACACUAGAAGGCAACAGCCUUGUAAUAGUCAAGAUGAGAAAUGGCCAAUUUCAACAAUGGAUCUAGAGAGAAAAGGAUGGAACUACCUUUCUGGGCUACUCCACAUAACUCCUCUCACAGGUUCUAAGUGAUAAAUGCUAUAAUAAACGUUGUUGGGGUGUUCUACUCUCAAAUACAACUUAAAUUAUGGACACCUUCUCCUGAAAGAGACAGACACAGGAGAGGUUCUGAGCAGGUGAGCAAAAUUUAUUCGUCACAUAGGGCCAUAUUUGGCUUCUGUACAAUGAAUCAUCACUGAGUCUGGGCGUUGGCAGGGUAGAAAGAAGCAACAACAAAUGAAAGGAGGGUAUUAAAUAACGAUUGCCAUAGAGACCAGUCAGAUUUACCCAACUCCCUGAAAUUUAAACAAGAAAGCUUAGAAAAUUAAAACCCAGUACAUUUCAAAGAGAUAAAGGGCAGUGUAUAAGUUAGCUGUGGAACGCAAUAGCAGGAUAUUGAAGCAAGUUGUUUAGUCAGGCUUCUAAAACCCAUUGUCAGCAAUAUGCAAAUAAGACCUCCAACAAUUUGUCAUGCCUUCUGAUCACACCAAGAAUGAGCACAUUCAUAUGAGACACACGCAACUGUAGAGCUAAGGUAGGAAAGAAUGAUGAUGCCAACAGGCAAAGGGAAGUGUCUGAAAAGUUGUGGUUGUGAUGCAGCUUCCUUUGGAUGAAGAGCCCUGUGCAAGUCAGGUAAGAUUGUAGUUUAAGAUGACUUUUUAAAUUCCUCACCACAUUUCCUUACGGGCACCCAUAUAGAACCACCUGCCUAGAUCCCAUUCUUUCCACCUCAGUUACCCCCAUGUUCAGCAGUACAUAGUAUCUUACUAUGAAGCCUGUGGCUGCUAGGACAGCCCAGCUGUCACUGUUUCUUAUAGUCACUGCUCAAUGGCAUGGCUUACUAUUAAUUCAGCCUCUCUGCCACUUUCUCUACUGACCUACCUUUGAAUCCUGAACCAAGCCCAAUGACUGUAAUACUGAGGAUGUUCCACAUCUGGAGCAAGAUUUCCAAAAGACAAGAUGACAUCUGAGGGUGAUGAUCACCACCACAGCAACGAGAAGCUGUCGCAAACUUCAGCCAGUCGAGUCUGCUUCUUCAGCCACAUCUUGCCCAGCAAAAAUAAACAGUGGCCAUAUGGGAUACAGCAGGUGCUCUGAUAAAUGAAGAGAAAGGGCUACUUGAUUUUCAGGGGAUUUAUGUGGCAAUCUCUCAGCCCAGGACAUCCCUCAUGACGUUCCUCAUAGUCAGUAUCCCUGGCUGGCUGCAGAUACAGCACCUUGGACUCUGGGAGCUGGCAGGCAGCAUGGAGUGACACCACUGCUUCCCUGCAAAGAAAGCCACUUUCAAAUAGUCUCCAGCCAUAGCCUGGCAGGUAAAGCCCCAAACCCAAAGGAGCAGAGCAGCACAGGGAGCAGCAGCCAGUGCUGCUGCACCUCAGAAGUGCACCAGCUGAAGGCUCCAGCAGUGUCAGCCUGGGCCCACCCAAGCCUGGGCCAGAUCUGCCCAGGUGAGUUUAUGUGCCACUGAAAUACAGACACUGUGCCAGUUUGUUCCCUGUCACCCCAGUGACUGAGCCAGUCCUGUUGUGAGGGGUGGCUCUCAGGAGGAGUCACCUCACCAGCCAUGCCCAUGAGUGAGAUUGUUGUGUGGUCCCUGUGUGGCUGAGUCCCUCACCCAUCACAUAGAGUAGUGAGGGGAUGUUGGAAUGGAGAUACCGGCACCAGCAGAGCAGGGUGUGUGGAAGCCUCAGGCUGGGGGCCAUGCAUGUGGGGUCUGUUUGGGGUGGGAGCUCAGGAGCUCUGUCCACCCGUGGUCUGGGAGAUGAGCCUGGUGUCUUGAGACCAUUCUGGGGAGCGAGCAGGGGCCAUAUGGAAGGAGCUGCCAAACAAGGCUGUUAAAGCAAAUGCUGCAAAUGAGUUUAGUAGACAGCCAGACAUUUUGAGGAGGGGGGGAGGCAGAGGGGGAGCAGAGGAGAGCAGAGGAGAAAGGGAGAACCUGGUGCUGUGGCUGAAAGGGACCCACCAUGGCAUGCUGUCUGGUGGGCAGCGCACCCUGUGCUGUCACCCCAGGUAUCUUCUCUGAUGCCCUAACUUUGAGACCUCUCAAAGAGAAUAGGGAACUAAGGUGUCAUGCCCCCUUCUUUGUUUUUAAUUACUUCUCAUUUUAAUCUUGAUUUGCACGUCUCUCAGAACUGGGCCAGGGACUCCACAAAGCCCUCGUCAGCAACUCCCCCAAUAAUAAACAGGAAAAGGCUUAAGGGGCAAAUCACUUGCAUGUUAAUGAGACUGUUUGCUGGAGUCAAGAGAGAAAACAGCAAACAAACAAAUGGACUGAAUUCCAGCGGCAGCUGUUUGCUCCUUAAUCUCGGCUCGUCAGAGCUGCCCUUUGAUGGGACACAAUCUACACAAACGAUUGUGCUAAAUCUUCUAAUCUACGUCCUCAUUAUUACAUCCCUUCUUACGCAUGUAAAUCAGGGACAAACUCAUUUUAAUAUGUAGAUAGAUUAUGGAAGGGAAGGGGAGGGGAUUGGAGGGGAAAGGAGCUGCUGGUUGUGUCUGUGUCUGUCUGUUUUCGGGGGUGUUAAUGAGCAACGUGGGGAGGGGAGCUGUCUGUGUAGGCCUCCAGGACAAGAAGAGGAGUGCCAAUUGUCAAGACAGAAGGUGGCAUAUGAAGGGGCAAGUACAGCAGGGCUGGGAUGCUGGAGAAGACACAGGCACACAGCAGCUUUGGCCAUAGCCCCUCAGCCUGUGUGCUUGGCUCCCAACUCCAUUGAAGUUGGAUGCAGGAGGAACAGGCAUGCAGGAGGGCUUGCUGGUGGCAUAGUGAGAGGCAAUGGGGUCAUGAUUUCUCAGGGUGCCUUACAGAGCAGGGCCUGCUUGCAGCACAACAUCACGUUCUCCCAUCCCUCCUUGACUCACAUCACUCAAGCAAUGCUGGUCAGUGGACUGUAGUUCAAACCAACCAUCUUUACACUGUCUGGAGAAGUAAGCUAACAUCUCAGAUUGUCAAGUGCAAGGAUGCAUCCUAUGCUGCUGGUGAAUAUCAUUACAGCUACAGUUACGGUCUUAAAUAGCAUUCUGAGUAGUUGCUUAAAUAACCAACACAAUAGUGGAAAAAAGAGCUCUCCAUUUCUCUACCUCUGUCAUCUCCUAAUCCAAAUACCAACCUGCAAUCUGCCCUUUACCUUCUCCAUACACAGGAACAACAUAGGAGAAUAACAAGGUUGUGCAGCACCAGCCUUAUUUAUCUGAGCCAACUCUUUCCUCCUGUCCUCCAGGAGGGGCAGCCUCCUGGUAAAAUAGGAAAAAAUAAUUUAAAAUCAGCCUGGUUGAAUCAUAAUUUCCCCAUCACUUCACACCAGUCAAGGAAGGGCACAGAAAAUAAACAGUAGAUUAAGUGCAAAAAAGAUGGGUAUAGAAGAAGAGCAGAGGCAGGCAGGAACUUAAUCAGAAAGGCCAAGCAUAAAAUAAGUUUGCAGGAAGCAGGAUCAUCAAAGGGAACAAGAAAUCAUUCUGUAAAUUCAUUAGUAGCAAGAGGAAGACUAAGCAAAAUAUUGGAUUGCUUCUCAAUAGAGCAUAAUAUUAGUGAAACUAAUAACAGUGAUAAAGAGGUAAGAUCCUGGCAUAUAACAGAGAAAGAAUAUGGUAGAGGUCAUAGUGUUGAGCUAGAUGCAUUCAGAUUUAUUGGGUUUAAUGAGCUUCGUUUUAGGUACUUAGAGAUUUGGAUACAGCAACCUCAGAAUCACUACUGACUGUCUUCCAGAACAACAGUAGAACAAAAAGGCAUUGCUCUUUCAAAAGUAAAGAGAAAGGUGGUGGUAAUUAUCAGCUUAAUUAUCAUUCCCAUUAAAAUUCUGAAAUAAAUAGCUGUUAUGUCUGAAGUUAUUUCAAAGAAAAAGUUAACAGCCAACUGCAUUCAGUGUGGAUUUUUCAAGGAUCAGUUCCCUUCCAGUCAUUCUAACUUCUAACUUCCUACUGUGAAAAGGCAACAGGUUUUGUAGAUAAGAAUGGAGCAAAUAUGUGUAUCUUGACUUCAGUAACCUUUUUAGUCUCCUUUUCAAAAGAUGUUCCUAAGAGUAAACUAGGAGAAUAUAAAUUAGAGAGUUACAGAGGUACUUGAAAAACUAUGCUUAGUUGUUUACAGUUAAAAUAAAAGAUGCGUUGAGAAGAGCUCCACAAAAAUCUAUUCUGGGUCUGGUUCUGUACAGUGAUUUAAUUAACAGCAUGGAUGAUAGAAGAGAGAGUGCGCACAUCAGGAAAACACAGACCUGGAAGACACAUGAAGUACACUGGAGGACAGGCUUAGCACUCAAAGUUAUCUUGGCAAAUUGGGAAAGUGUUUGAAAAAAACAUAAAUGAAAGUCAAUAAGAAACUAUGCAAAGAAUACCGGUGAUGCUGAAAACAAUUAAAUGCAUAAACAUGGGUUGGGAAACAACUUGUUAAGCUUCAAUUCUUCCAAAAAAGAGCUGGAGGUUAGAAUGGAUUACCAUCCCUGUCAAAAGUAUUAUGCUGAUGCAAAAAGCAGACCUCAUUCUGUGGGAAAUAAGUAAGACCACAACUGUCAAGACCUCUGGAAAUUAUCUUUCCUUCUAAAAAGCAUUUGUGAGACCUUAGCUGGUGUUUUGAGCACAGGUUUGGCAUUGCCUUUCAGGAGGAAUAUGGACCCACUGGAGAGUCUCUGAAGGAGGGCAGUGAGGAUGAUCACAGAUCUGAUACAUGUCACGUGAGGAGAAACUGAAAGAACUGGUGUUGUGUAACUUGAAUGGGGAAGACUGUUAGAGGACAAGAGACAAAUUACUGGUACAAAAAAAUGUAAAGAGAGAGGGAAAAAAUCUGUCCUCCAUACUCACAGCAGGCAUGCAGUACAUAAAAAACCACAGCAAGAAGGACCUGGAUUAGCUAUUAGGACCAAAAUUAACAAAAAUUAAGAUAGAUACUAGAGGGGACACACUGAAAGAGGUUGCUCAGGAGCUUGUCUGUCUGUCAAGAAUGAGAUCGGGAUAUCUGGUCAUACUGCCAUGAAAGAGAUAGCCUCUCCCAGUUCAACUUUCCUAUAAGCCCAUUUCCUCAUUUCUGACAGCCAUCAUCUAACUCUCAUGGAAUGGAAGUACACAAAUUGGGAUGAGACAUGGGGAAGUGCCAUUGGUUCAGUAACACCAUCACUACACUCCUCACUAACACGCCAACAUAUAUUUACUAACUAGGAAUGAUAACAGGAUGGAGACUUGAGAGAUGACUGAACCCUUGAGAUGAACAAUUAUUCUGAGAUCUUGGUAAAAGCAAAAGGCCACCUAGAUCACUGCCACACUAGUCCAUGACUAGUAGAGCUUUGCUGCUUAAGUUAAAGCAGUGAUGUAAACAUCUGCUUCCUUGUCACCACCAGAUACCUAAUUUGAAUGCUGGUACUGCUCCUCCCUGUUAGAGAGUCUAAAUCAAGCAAUGGCUUGAAGACUCACUGUAAACUCUCUAUAUAGUUUAAUAGAGAUAUCUAUUUCUGCAACAUUUCCUUGGGGAAGUCUUGGGAGGCUAGUAACGUAUUAGAUUAGAAUGAGUAUCCACCUCAAACGAUGGAUUUUCAAGUAAAGUUUGGAUAUUUUUUCCUUGCCCACCUCUCUUUUUCUGGCUUCUUUCAGUCUGUAUGCUUGUCUUCUGUCACAUUCUUUCCUUGGCUGUAUGCAUUACUGCUCCCAUGCCCUUGGCUGCCUGAGGAGCACAAAGCCUUCUGUACUUUCUUUUGGGUUGAGCAAUGGACCACAGGUAGGAUCAGGAAGAGGAUUCCUUGCCUAGGUAGGCCUCGGUCCUUAAUUUACCCUAUCUGGAAUGAAAGAUGGAAAUAUUCCUAGACUCCAUCUUUCUUCAAGCCACUGUUGUGAUCAGCUCACCAUUUUGUUGCAGUGCUCGUGCAGAUUCUCUCUUUAUGUCAUCUGCCAAGCUAGGAUAUUAGCUCUGAUCUUCAAAGCUCUCUCAGAGUCAAUUAUGUCUGAGUCUGCAUUUUCAGCACGGCCCACCUAUUCCUUUGGGAAAAUGCAGUUGACUAAGUCCAUGAUGAAGUGAAUGAAACUGGAGAUGAAAUGGAGAUAAAUGUCGCAGAGGUUUGGCAACUGAAUAAGUUUGCAGAAGUGCACUGCUCCAAACAUAGCCACACUUUGGAAACAGAGAAAAGCUUCCUUUUUUUAAGAAGCUUCUCCUCUCCAGUAGAAAAGAAGGCUUGAUAUUAUAAAAUACAAUUAAAAACAAUACGAAAUAGUAAUGAUGCCUUCCUAACAGACUGCAGGGAACUUGGAAUUAAAAGUGGCGAAAAUGGUUUAGUGGUCACAAGGGGAAAUGUUCUGAGGCCCUACGACACUCAGCAGCCUCCAUUUUGCUUAAGGAAGAGCAGUAUCAGGAAAGACACAGAGUGGACAGAAGACUGCAGGGGAACAUGUAAAAGAGGUUGAAGAGCAGGCAAGGAGGGUGGGGACAGGAUGUAGUGUGUGGUAUGAGAGGUUGCCAUAGUGCAGAUGCCUUCUCUGUGAUCCAUCAGAGCCAAGUGUGUGGCAUGCAAUGGUCAGCAACACUACAAUGUCCCACAUGACAAAAUUCACACAGACAUUCCUCUGGGGAAUGUCUACACCCAAAUUUCAUCUCUUCUCACUACUCCCCUUUAUCCCAUGCAUUGGUGAUCUCCAUUUCACUUGUUGCCUACCGCACCUACUCUUGUUGCUAGCCCAUAUAUUUAGCCUUCCUCACCAGAGUUUGAACCUUUCUGGUAGUUGAGGGAUUAUUACUCCACACUUCUUGAUUAUCACUUAAACAAAUUAGGCACAGUUACAUGUGGCUUACAGACUCAAACCACAAAUUCCCAUUCGUUUUCUUUCUUCUUCUCUAAACUCUGUGCAGUUUGUCAGUGUUUCCCUGAAGAAAACGAAACAUGUAAACACGCACGGAAAAUUUGAAUUUAUCCUUUCAGCAUUAGAGCAUUAUGGGCUGCUCCACAAUGUCAUGUUUCUGAACACAUAGCCAGCUCAAUCUUAUUUAGAACUUUGCUGUACUGCAAAUGUACGUUGUUAUCACACCAGCGUAUCACACCAUCAUCACUGUUAUUUUUAGUCCUCUCUGUCCAGCUGUUUGUCUCUCACCUUUGGCUUUGAAUUUUUCCCCUAUGACGGUUUGCUGAAUUGACAGUCAUCUAUGUUCUCUUUACUGCAUUCUAGUUCUCUCUCCAGUGGCAUGAAUUCUUCCAACAAUGUAUUAUCUGCAAAUGAUAUUAGUAUGCAUCUUGGUCUGCUUUCUUGAUCAUUUAUUGAAAUCUUAAGAAUGGCAGAUUUAAACUUCACUUGCUGGAUAACUUCUGUCUCUGCCUGGCAGUUAGACUGAGUCUGUUACUUAGAAUCAUCUGGCUGCAUUUUCAUUCUCUUUGAUAACUUCUAUCUGAAAAUUCCCUAUAUUUUUCCCAGUGUCAAUUUCUUAUUUUGCCAAAUAGAAUUUCAAGAACAGAUCUGAAAAGUGAAUUUACUAAUGGUAAUAAAAGGACCAACAAUAGUAAAAGAUCUAAAUGAACUGAAAAUGAACUAAAUGAGCUGAACAAAGUCCAGUGUAUUUCAGACAGUGGGCAAGAAGGUCACUUGAAACUGUUUCAUUUUAUUUUGUUUGUGUCCCUGAAAAUUCAACCUGAAUUUAGUUUGUCAAACAAAUCUUGUGAGUAGUUUUCCCACAAUUUGCAUCUAUGAUACUAACUACGUGUAUGGCACUAACAGUUCCAUAAUGCUAAGACAGUUCAGUAUGCACCUAAAAAUUCCUCCUGUUGUGACAGAGUGACAGAAAUUAGAUUUUUGCCAUAGCAAUUGAGUCUAGCAUUCUUUCUCCCUUUUUUUAUCUGUCAUGCUUCUUUCUUCAGCACCUAGCUAUGUGGCAUCCAAAUGUAGUAGAAAAAUAAUAAAUUACAGCCCCAAACAAGAACUACUUUUUAAUCUUCACCCUCACUCUGUGGCAGAGGAAUAUGCAUUUAUGCUGUCCCAUUACUGCAGAAGCAGAAUAAUACCUUGUUUCACUUAGAGUGGGAUCCAUCUCACCUAGCUGUAGAUGCCUACAUCUGAGCUGGUCAUGGAGUGCCUUCGUAGUCAAUACCAAACUAGUGGACUAUAUUUAUAGUCAAAAGCAAUUUGAUGGGUAAAAGCAAUGGAGAUGUGAUUUCUCCAAUUGAAUGUAGGCAACUACUUCAUGAUAAGAGGAGUUUUGCCCUAGGCUCCUUUAAGCCUCUUGACUAGAUCCCCUUUGACUAGAAUUGAAAUUUGCUCAACAUGGACUUCCUGCACUGCAGAUGUUCAUGCUGGAGCUGAUGAAUGCCAUUGCCACAUUGUGUUCUCUUCUAGAACCCUAUUUGACUUCCAGAUAUCCAUUCAGUUGUUCUUAUAGUUCCCAUAUAUAUGACAAUAAAUAGAAGUGUUUGAGACAUUUUUUCCUACUGUGGCUGGCACAAUGUCUUAGUCCAGAUCCUCUGCAUGGAUCGUGAUGGCUCUCUUUGAAGGCUACUUAAUGUAAGUUUUUCCCCUGUGGUAUGAGUUCAAGUUUCAGGACAAGCAGCAGGGAAUUCAACCAUGUCUGUCAAAGAGCACAGAGGCAUUUUGGGGGAGUAAGAAACAGUCCCAGGGUUAGGGUCAGGCCUACAUGAUGCUGUAGGCACGGCAGCUAGUUGGUGCUCAUCUGUCCAGUAACAUUGAUGCUGAGUUGCUGGUAGCUGAGAGAUUUUUCAUUGUGCAAGAUAUCAUCCCCUGGGCAAAGGGAAUGGCACUUGUUCACUUGGAAGGCCUGGUGUGCCCAUGGCUGAGCCAAGCCUGCACUGUCUCUUCCUCUUGGCAGAGGGCACCCACAUCCCCAGAGGUCGGCAGUCACCCUGGGCCUUUCCUCGGGCUGUGCUAAUAUCCAGCACACAAUAUCUCAAUAUCCACAGCAUCUCCCCUUGCACCUCUGUCCUCCCAGGGAGCAGGGGCAGCUCCUGGAGGCUCCUCAUUAGGUCACCGGCCUCAGGAACCAGAAUCUCCCCUCCCCCACCUCUGUACACAACUGUUCCUCAUUUACAUAAAUUAUCUCUAUUCAAUUAUCUGUCCAGAUGUCCGAAUUGUGCCACCAAUGAUCUGUGAAUGAAUUAAAAAUGGAAUAUAAUUUAAUAAUAACUGAUUAGAAGGAGAUUAGUUGUUAUAUAAAAAGGAAAAACCAAGAGAUAGCUAGUUGCCCUUAAUCCGAGCCAAUCCACAAUAAUUAUAAAAAUAGUCUCGCUUGCUCUCCUUCCCCAUUUCUCUUCUUCUCCUCCCAUUUUCUCUCUUUCUCCUUUUCCCCUUUUUCCCUUCAUCCUUUCUUUCCUCUCUCUCCUCUCUUUUUUUGUUUUUUGGUGUUUUUGUCUCUGUCCCUCCCAUGCCUACUCCCCACUUUCUCCUCCUGAUUACACAAACCUACGUCAACUGAGUUAAAGCCCCCCCGGCUGCUCAUAUACCCGGGGAGCUGUGGAUGUUCUGGCAGGGGCCGACCAACAAGAGCUUUCAGCUGCAUUAAUGUCCUGCCUUUCAAGCCAUGUUAAUGAUGUGCCUUUAUACUCUCACUUUUCUCUUAAACAAUUUUGGAAACUCUGCCUUUUCUCUUGGUCCUUAAUCCAGACUCUUUUCAGGUUUCCCUCCUUGUAUCUUUUGGAGUUGUGCAGAGUGAUUUCUAUAUUGUACUGGGUUUAAUAAAACAAUAAGUAGCACUGAGCCUCUGGCUCUUCCUCUUGCACAGGGAAGAACCAGUAACAAGUCAUAAGCCCCCACAGUGUCAACGAAGCAUUGCUGGAGUAGAUUUUUUUCGAGAAAUUUGUCAUUGUUUUAUUUUUCAGUGCUAUUCCCUCCUCUCCCAAGCAUACAGCCACAGUACCCUUGAGCAAAGCUGAAAGAGAGAGUGCAAAACGUGUCUAGGUAUUGGAGGCAGAAAAAAUGCUGAGAAAAAUAAAAUACACAGGGAGAUUGUAAUAGGACAAAGGGGGAAUGCUUUAAAACUAAAAGAAGAGAGAUUUAGAUUAGAUGUUAGGGGGAGAUUCUUUACUCAGAGAGUGGUGAGGCUCUGGCACAGGCUGCCCAGAGAAGCUGUGAUGCCCCUUCCCUGGAGGCACUGAAGGCCAGGCUGGAUGGAGCCCUGGGCAGCCUGAGCUGGUGGAGGCAGCCCUGCCCAUGGCAGAGUUUGAGACUGGAUGGGCUUUAAGGUCCCUCCAACACAAGUCUUUCUGUUAUCAUAUGAUUCUAUGAUCCUAUGAAUACCCUGCUAGCCAAAUGCUCUGUGGGUCUCCUCCACUGUCCCCUGCCUUGUCUCUACCAGCUGUGACCCACCUACAUCAGAUGGGGCUUCUGACACGAAUGUCUAUCACUUUGUGACUUGCAAUAGCAUGAAGGUGAGUAACAGAAAACUUCUAUGAGUUUAUGUGUAUUCUUCUUGUAAAUUAGAACAAGGAAAAAAUAUUUGCUGUUAUUCAUUGCUGAGCUAGAGUGGAUGGUUUAUCUCAAAUAAUUUCAAAGCAUGACUUUGAAAACAUCAGUUAACAAUUUAAGUCACAUUUACCACAUAGUUCAGCAUGGGCAUUGUUGGAGAUGGGCAGUGAUGAUUACAGAUACAGCUUUGAGAAGCACUCUUUGACAAGAAAAAAGGAAGCUGAGAGUCCAAACAUAUUCACUGUCACAGAUUCACCUAACCACACCAAGGUACUAGAUACAUAAACCUUCUAUCUUAGUUCACUAUGUGAAUGCUCUCUUCCCUGCUACCCUCUUUCUGUGCUGGUACUUUUGUUAUCUUCUACACUACAUAGUGAAACAAAAUUCUAAGGAGGAGUUUCUUUUAGCAGUAUGUUGAUCAAUUCCGUGUCUUUUAAAUUAUUACAGACUUCCUCUACACAGGAAAAGAUUGUAGUACUAAGUUUACAGGAGCUGCUGAUCUUGAAGGAACCCAGCAAGGCUUUGUGCAGCUACAGACUCUAACUUCAGCUACCUGUGCUGAAGAGGAGCAAACAGAAAAGGGUUUGCUGGAAGUGUCAUAGCAUGAGCAGAGGAACAUGGAGCACUACAGUUCAGUCCCACCCCAACUUCAUAAGAAGAUGAUGGAUUCUCCAGGCUGUCCUGUACAUGGAGUCUUCUCAGGCUAGUCAGAAUGGACACUACCUAGGAAAGGCAACAAUCCUAUCCUGUGCCAAUGGCUCUGCCCAGCGCCAAGGAUUCUGUCUAGCAGGACACCAGCGUGCAUCUCCUGGGUGCCCUGCUCAACACAAAGCACAGCAAUGCAGGCCACUGAGAUACUUGCAUCGAGUACGCAUCAUGGAUCCAGAAGCAAUGUUCAAUAGAGACAGAUUCUUUAGUCACCCAUUUCAGCCUGCACCAAAUUGGGGAUGGGGAACAGUGACAAGAAGCCUCCAGUUUUUGCCCCAUCCAGCACUGCCCACUAUCAGAGGUAGGAUCAGACUCCAAGUAACCACUCCAGAUUUGCUCAAAGGGUUAAUUCCCCUCCCACUCCAAUGUACAGAUAACAGAGUAGCCAAUAUGUGCAGUUCCCAGAAGGCCUUUGGGGUGCAGUCCUUACGCCUCAGCAGCCCCAUGCAGAAAAGCUGUUGUCUAACCCCUUGUGCUGAGCAGGGCAGAGCUGUUGACUGUCCUGGUCACGCGACUGGCAAAUGGCUUCUGUACAAUGUGGGUGUGUGUGUGUGGGGCGGGGGUUGGUCCUGGCAGCUGGGUGAUACACAGCACGAAUGGAGGUGCUCAGACACAGAAGUAAACAACAGAGGAAAUGCUGAUGUGUCUGCAUCAGGACAGAAGAUUAGCUGUAAUGCAAAAAGCAAAAUGUCACAAGAAGCAUUCUGCCUAGUGAAAUCCUGGCUCUGCUCAGCAUUGGUGGACAGAGUCCUGCUGACUUAAGUAGGCUGAGGAUUCUACCAGGGGUUAAGAUGUGCACUCUGACGAUACCAGGGUAAUUCAGAGCAAACUGAAAUGGCAAGGUCUACUUGGAGCUGCAGUAACUCAGCCAGCAGCUGCCAGCUGUGAGCAUUUAGCAAUGGGCAUGGCAGGUGCCAUAAUCUCCAUGUCAUCUCGUGCUUUGUAUCUCCAGUGAUUAUUUAGAAAUCAAUGCACUGGUGUGUAAAGAAAAACAUGUGCCCAGCAGGUCUCUGAUGUAACAGACAUCAGAAGCUUCUAUGGUUUUUGUUUGUUUGUUUUUGAAGAAAUGUAUCUGACCUCCAUAGAAUCAAAGAUUUUAAGGCCUGAAGGGAAUGUUACCAUCUUCUAGCCCGAAAUUCUGCAGAAAACAGGCUACAAAACUGCACCAAAUAAUUCCUGCAUUAGAGCAAUAUCUUCUGGAUGAGUUAUAGAUCAUCUCUUAAAAAGACUUUCAGCCUUGGUUUGAAGACUUUAUGAGACAGAGAGAAUCUAUGACAUCCGCGGGUAGGUAGCUUCAGUCACUCCUUGUGCCUCAGCAGUUUUUAUUAAUGCAGCAAGUGUUUGUUCUUGUCAUAUUAGCAUUCUCAUGUCCUAUAUCCAUCUACAGUGCAACAUAUGGCAGCAGGAUAAUGAAAAUGCCCAGUGUCUGUGACUACAGUAGAUCAUGAGUUAAAGAACAGCUAAAAUAAAAAUGGACUAGAAGAGAAUUUUAUACAAAGUAUUUUUCCCCAUAUAGGAUUUGAAAAGUGAUAGGCAGAAUUGGUGUUGUCACUUCUACCAGUAGAACAUGCAGAGGAGACCAGGACAGGUGAGGCUGCACUGGAAGGACUGAAAAGCCAUUGUGGAGGAAUGGAAGGGCAUGGGGACAUCAAGUCUGUGACCCAAUGGGUGUGAACCCACUGCAGUUUGUUGAGACAAAGGGCAAGGUGGCUUUGCACCAGGCUCUGAAUGAAGUGACACACAGCACAUGGUAGAGAUGGAGGGGAAGUGACACUCCUUUGCAGACUGAGGUGGGAGUGGUGAUAACACUAUUUCCGGUGGAAUUCAGAGUGUCCACAGAUGCAGAAAGAGGCUGCGAGAAAGUCAAGACUGGGUGAAUUGUAGAAUAGAAUAAUAGGAAAACUGAGGUUGGAAGUGACCUUAAAGCCCACCCAGCCCCAACCCCUUGCUGUGGGCAGGGCUGCCCCCCUACCUGCUCAGGCUGCCCAGGGCCCCAUCCACCUGAUCUUGAGCACCUCCAGGGAUGGGGCACCUGAUACUUGUGCUCAGGAUGAAAGAUGGGUUUGCAGACUGAAAUGAGAAGAGGAAAAGUUCAGCAUCGAAGUUAAUGCAGAAGGACAGUGGGAGAAGACAAAGGAUGUGUUGGAUCAUGAAAAUGUGAGAAAUUUCUGAGGCUUCUUCGGGUCUCUCCCCAGGAGAGUAUCAGAGUUGUUAGGAUGAGGAGAGCUCCAUUAAAGCCAAUAUUUACUCUGAUCAUGGCAGGCUGAAAAGGUUGCUAGAGAUUAAUCGUAGAGAUAUUGAAAUGUAAGUAAGUGUUCAGUGACUUAAGUCCACUGGACUUAUUGAAAUGUGAGUUCAGUUUCCUAAUCAUAGGAACUCUGCUAGCUUGCAGAGAGGCAAAGAGCAAUGAGAGCAGGCAUAUUAAAAAGCAGACUGCCAAACAUGGAGCUCUGUAGCUCAGUGAUUAGAGUCACAAAGAACUUGGCAGAGGGGGCGAAAGCUGUCCUCACAGUCCUGGGGCACGGCCGGAAAAGGGAGGGCCUCCAGUACCCCCAGGGUAGCAGUGGGGUGAGACUGUGCAGGUGCAUCGGGUGGAACCACACUGCAAAGUCAGCAAAAGCCCUGGUGGGCAGGUGGGGAAGUGUUGGGAGGAAAACAAUGAAAAGAGAGUGAAACAUGCGAGAAAGACUGUGUAACUCUACAGACUGACAGUGCUUUAAUUUUGUAUAAACUGUGGAAUGAACUACUGUGCUUGCUUCAGAUCAUCGGCUGCCACGCAGGGAGGCACAAAGAGACAGAGGUGACACCUGCUGCAGAGUGGACCUCAGACUGAUAAGCUCUGAUGGACUUAAGGUAGAAAAUGUGAUCAUCCUCUAUUAACUGUGUCUGUCCUUGGGUAGAGAUGCAAAGUCAGGUCUGGAAGAGGCAAGCGAGGGAGAGUGAUAGCAAUAGAUGUUUGAGAACAUGGGCUCAGGCUGAAAUGCAGCCUCUGUGCAUCACUGCACCCUCUCCAAGCCCAGGAAAGUUCUUUAGGUGCAGGUGCCAUGUGCAGGUACUCGCCCCAGCUCCUGUGCUGAUCAGGGGAGCCGUAGGAUUUCAAAGGGCUUCAGAUCUGGUGGUCUGGCAGGGGACAGUGUCAGCAGUAUUCCAUCACAGUGAGAGUGCCCUUGGUUUGUCCAGGGAAAGUGUGACAUCUGGCAUCUGAAGCAGCCCCAAACCUUUUGCAGGCCGAGACUCUAAAUUGGGAUUCCCAAAAUCUGCAGAACACAGUAUAUGAGCUGCCCGGGGCUGUUAGGCAAUCCCAAAGGACUGUGACCAUCCUGGACAGAUCCCAAUUUCAGUAGCCAUUCCCAGCCCCCAUUUGUCGUGGCACAUGCUGUGAAGGGGCUACCUGCUUGAGCGAGUGACACGGGCGAUGCCUGAAGCUCUCUCUUCAGUGAAUGUCAAAAGAGUUGGGGUCAGGCAUGCGGGAUGAGGUGUGUGGCACCGUGCCCACAGGUGGUGAGAGAUGCUCUCAGCUACCACGGCACCAUGUGGCUCAAGAGCUGCCCGUGGGCAGGCGGUGUUGGUCCUCUGAUGACACAAUCCAGAUGUUUCUCCAGCACAUAAC